CACGUAGGGUGCGAGCGUUGUCCGGAAUUAUUGGGCGUAAAGAGCUCGUAGGCGGUCUGUCGCGUCGGUCGUGAAAACUUGGGGCUUAACCCUGAGCUUGCGGUCGAUACGGGCAUGACUGGAGUUCGGCAGGGGAGACUGGAAUUCCUGGUGUAGCGGUGAAAUGCGUAGAUAUCUGGAGGAACACCGGUGGCGAAGGCGGAUCUCUGGGCCAUUACUGACGCUGAGGAGCGAAAGCGUGGGGAGCGAACAGG
rnacentral:rRNA from 1 species